UUUAAAAGUGAGCACCACCACCACCUGGCUGACCUUGAAUUUUUUUAAUCCUCCUGUCUUGUCUGAAUGCUAGGAUGAGAGAUGUGCACCAUCGUGCCCAGUUUUUAGAUUUUAUUAAGUGCUAGCACUCUGUACUAGGCAAGCACUCUACCAAGUGAGCUACACUGCCAGUCCCAUUCCUGCAUCCUCCUUAAGACUUCCUUGUCCCUUCCACAACGGAGGCUAUAGGCUAUAACACCCUCCCUACCCUUCCAGUCCCCUGUGGCCCUGCUUUGUCACUUGCUGUUCUAACUGAAGCCUCAGGAGCUGACUACCAUAUUACAGACGAGACCACUCCACACAAGCACCAACCAGGACUUUUAGAUCUCAGCGGAGAUCACAGCAGGAAUGGUGCACAGGAGGAGUUGAGAGAGCAUAGUCAGAAAGGUCACGGUCGUCACAAGGUCUCUCACCUCAGUUUUGGUCUUUUUGGGUGCACUGGUCUCCUCACUUUCACUCUCUGAGAUCUCCUCACUGCGGCCCUGUUUGUUGGCCUUUGGGGUAGAGGUUUCCUCUACUCGGGCCUUCUGUUAGAGAGAAAGAGAACAUGCUUGUCUUCUGUCUCCUAAGCCCCUGCCAAACUUGAAGCCCUCCACCCCCGAAACCCCCUUCAGCUGCAGUGCACCCUGUGGGGACCAGAGGAGGAAUACCUUGGCUGUUUGCCUGGACUUCUCAGCUUUGCCAUCACUGCUGGAUGUGCUGACCCCUCCAGGGGAGGCCCGGCCCCUUGAUCUCAGCUCUUCCCGGGGCCCGGGGGCCUCUUUCUUCCGUCCACUCCUCAUUGACAUCUGAGAGCAGGAUGGAGGUGGCACUUUAGGUUACACUGUUUCUGUUCUCCGCUGUAGGCCCUUCCUCCCAGCUUCCCUGCCCCUGCCCCGCCGUACUGCUUGCUAAAGCUUCUACUCACCGAAUCUUUAUUCUGUCGUGUCUUCAUUCUUCAGGCUGUGGGGACCCCAUUCUCCUCUGCCUGGGCAGCUGAAUACAGAACCUUGUUUGCUGCACCCCAAGCUCCCCACAGCCGUGGUCUGGGAAGCUGGAAGCAGCUGUAGGCACCAGGGAAGGCAGAAAAUUCAGAUGAACCUACGAACCCCAACCUAACACUUAGCAGGACUUUACCCUUCACAAGCCCUAAAGAGUAUCUGUGGCCUGGUAUGGUGGUGGAUGCCUAUAGUGCCAGCAUUCAGAAAGCUAUAGCUUGGGCAUCACAUGUUCAAGGAUAGCCUGAACUAGACAACAAAAUCCUGUCGGGAAAAAAAAAAAAAAAAAAGUAUGCUCAUUCAUUCAUUCGAGAGCCUCACAAAGAAACAAGGCUGAUGUGUUAGUUUACUGGGCAUCUUCGUGUCAAGCCCUCUACAUAGAAUUUCCUGGCACAUCAACACACUCUACAGUGGAUUAGUAAGUAAGGAAACUGAGGCUCAAAGACUGACUGCGAGCUGCCCCACCUUCCACAGGGAAGAACCAAUGACGAAGCCAGAACCAAACCCUCUGCAACCUGACUUCAAAGGCCACACUCACACGCUCGCCCUUUAAACUCUCCUCACAAGUUGGAGAGAAUUCUGAGAAGCCUAGAUCAGUCAAACAGAUAACAAUCUUGUUUCACAUCAGACAAUGUAGAAGACUGUCCCAUUCUACAGUACUGAGCAGCACAGGCUCACCAGUCAACCCCAAAUGGAGGCAUCUUCGAAACUCAGACACUCUAGACAGCCUCAUAAGGAUCCAUCCUCUAGUGGUUGACCUUUUCCACUUACAGGGCUUUUGUCCAGAGAGUCAGCCAACCUGAACUGACAAUGUUUGGGAGGAAAAAUUACAGAAAGUUCCAAAGGAAGUUUGAAUCUGUUUCAUUGACACCCCCGGCUCAAUCUACAAGCAUGCUAUGUGGACACAAGCUGCUGUAAUGUUGCACCUUUCACAAGACCUAGGUCCCUCUCCAGCUUUGGUUCAACCAUUGCUCACCUUCGCAUGGCACGUAACCUCGGCUUUGAACAGGUGGACUUUAUCAAACAUUUACAUGGAACUGGUUACUAUACAUGAUCCACAGGUGAUUUUAAAAAUAUGGAGGAGUGUGUGCAGGUACAAAGACACAGCAUCAUUCCAAACAAGGGACUUGAGUAUGUGUUAAUUUUGGUGUCUGUGGAGUGUACUGGAAAAAAUCCCCCAGAUAUCAAGGGAAGGCUGUAUUGGUGUUUCCUGUGCUUAAAAGUCAAAGCUUUCACAGGAACCAGACUAAGAAUGCACUGCUGGGCUGACUGAGGGAGGGUAUGCAGAUGCUACGAUGGGGGGUCAGGGGGCACAGCUUGAGUCGGCCUUCCCUGUCACCAUGUGGAACCUGGGGAUCAAACCCAGGUGUCAGGCUUUGUGGCUCACUGCUCAGUGAGCAUCUCACCAGCCCAACUCAAAACUUUUUAAAUUUUAUUUUAAGGUA